rnacentral:rRNA from 1 species
UAAGGGUUCCUGGGUCAAGCUGAUCUGCCCAGGGUAAGUCGGGACCUAAGGCGAGGCCGACAGGCGUAGUCGAUGGACAACCGGUUGAUAUUCCGGUACCCGCUUUGAAACGCCCAAUAUCGAAUCAGGCGAUGCUAAGUCCGUGAAGCCGUCCUGGAGCCUUCGGGCAAAGGGAAGUGGUGGAGCCGACGACCCAGACUUGUAGUAGGUAAGCGAUGGGGUGACGCAGGAAGGUAGUCCAGCCCGGGCGGUGGUAGUCCCGGGGUAAGGGUGUAGGCCGUGUGAUAGGCAAAUCCGUCACACGUUAAGGCUGAGACCUGAUGCCGAGCCGAUUGUGGUGAAGUGGAUGAUCCUAUGCUGUCGAGAAAAGCCUCUAGCGAGUUUCAUGGCGGCCCGUACCCUAAACCGACUCAGGUGGUCAGGUAGAGAAUACCGAGGCGUUCGGGUGAACUAUGGUUAAGGAACUCGGCAAAAUGCCCCCGUAACUUCGGGAGAAGGGGGGCCAUGUCCGGUGAUGAGUCUUACAUUCUGAGCUGGGUGUGGCCGCAGAGACCAGCGAGAAGCGACUGUUUACUAAAAACACAGGUCCGUGCGAAGCCGUAAGGCGAUGUAUACGGACUGACGCCUGCCCGGUGCUGGAACGUUAAGGGGACCGGUUAGC